rnacentral:rRNA from 1 species
UCGCCUGUUUAUCAAAAACAUCGCCUCYUGCAAAACCAAAGAAUAAGAGUUCCCGCCUGCCCACUGAUCCAAGAUUCAACGGCCGCGGUAUUUUGACCGUGCUAAGGUAGCGUAAUCACUUGUCUUUUAAAUGAAGACCCGUAUGAAAGGCUUAACGAGGGCUUAACUGUCUCUUCUUUCUAGUCAAUGAAACUGAUCUCCCCGUGCAGACGCGGGGAUAAGAACAUAAGACGAGAAGACCCUAUGGAGCUUUAGACACUAAAGCAGACUAUUUUUAAUAACCCUAACCAAGCAAUAAAUCUAAUAAAAACCUGCUACUGUCUUAGGUUGGGGCGACCCUGGGGAAACACAAAACCCCCAUGUGGAAGGGGGAACCUACUCUCCUACCCCUAAAAACCCGAAAUACAAUUCUAAUUAACAGAAUAUCUGACCAACUGAUCCGGCCUUAGGCCGAUUAACGAAACAAGUUACCCUAGGGAUAACAGCGCUAUCCCCUUUUAAAGUCCAUAUAGACAAGGGGGCUUACGACCUCGAUGUUGGAUCAGGACAUCCUAAUGGUGCAGCCGCUAUUAAGGGUUCGUUUGUUCAACGAUUAAAGUCCUACGUGAUCUGAGUUCRGACCGGA